rnacentral:rRNA from 1 species
UACAGAGGGUGCAAGCGUUGUUCGGAAUUAUUGGGCGUAAAGCGCGUGUAGGCGGCUUUGCAAGUCGGGUGUGAAAGCCCUCAGCUUAACUGAGGAAGUGCGCCCGAAACUGCAGAGCUUGAGUACCGGAGAGGAUGGUGGAAUUCCAGAAGUAGAGGUGAAAUUCGUAGAUAUCUGGAGGAACACCGGUGGCGAAGGCGACCAUCUGGACGGAUACUGACGCUGAGACGCGAAAGCGUGGGUAGCAAACAGG